rnacentral:rRNA from 1 species
GACGAACGCUGGCGGCGUGCUUAACACAUGCAAGUCGAGCGGUAAGGCCCUUUCGGGGGUACGACGAGCGGCGAACGGGUGAGUAACACGUGGGUGACCUGCCCUCAGUUCUGGGAUAAGCCUGGGAAACCGGGUCUAAUACUGGAUAUGACCUCAUGACGCAUGUUGUGGGGUGGAAAGCCUUGUGCGACUGAGGAUGGGCCCGCGGCCUAUCAGCUUGUUGGUGGGGUGAUGGCCUACCAAGGCGACGACGGGUAGCCGGCCUGAGAGGGCGACCGGCCACACUGGGACUGAGACACGGCCCAGACUCCUACGGGAGGCAGCAGUGGGGAAUCUUGCGCAAUGGGCGAAAGCCUGACGCAGCGACGCCGCGUGAGGGAUGACGGCCUGGUGUAACGUACUUCUA